ACAGUAAUUAGAAAAUUUUAAAAACUUAAAAAGAAUAUCACAUUUUUCAUAUUACCCGAGAAGUAAUAAUAUGAAUCCACGUUGUGUGUUUCUAUUGGUUAGCAGUUAUCGGCUACUGGUAUAUUAGUUGCAUGUACUGUUGCAACCUUUGCAAUCGCAGUACUCUUGAUUUGAUAGUGAGUUUGUGUCAGAGAGAGAGAGAGAGAGAGAAGAUGUGGCCAUUCAGCAGGAAAGGAGCUUCUGGGUUUUCAUCAUCUUCAACUGCAGAAGAAGUUACUGAAGGCAUCGAUGGAACUGGCCUCACUGCCAUUGUCACUGGUCUGCUCCCUCCCAAUCUAAAUCUUCUUUUCUUUAAUAAUUCUUAAUUGGGUAACUUUUCCAUGAAAAGAAAAUUCAGUUUUUACCAUGUUGUUCUGUCCUAAAAAAACUCUUUUUUGUUUUUAUGUUUCAAUGAAAUUUUUUUCAUCUAUCCAUUUCACUAAUGGACUGAACAAAUUGAAAAAUGUUCCGUUUCUUUUUUCAAGUGGCUUCUUUUAAACCCAGCUAGCUAGGCUAUACAGUAGAUUUCUUCACCUAAAUACUUGUUCAUCUUUUAAUGUGUUUUUGGGCAUGCCUUGUUGUUGAAUACGCGUUUUGAUUACUAUGUGUAUAGAAUUUUGCCUGUCUGUUUUAAAGUUGAAAUUUAUUUUGCUAGAAUUAAUUUUAAACCGUUAUGAAAUUGGGAUGUAUACCAAAAUUGAUUUUAGUCAUAAUUUUUCAUUGAAUGUGUGAGAAUUGAUUUUUAAAAUUGUAAGUAAACAACACUUUGCAUCAUAUAUGCAUAGGCUUGAGGAGUGAUUUACAAGCUUUCUCGAUGAAGAUCCAAAACCGACUUUGAACUAAUGCCUUUUGUAGUUGAGUCUGUAUAAUAUACCCCAAGAAUAUUGCAUCUCUACAUCUCAGUUAAUGCAGGAACAAAAAGAAGAGUCUUUGGCCGGGCAUAGCUUGUGCUUCACUGCACUCGAAUCUCAAAAUGUUGAAGUUUGCAGACAGUUUUUAGUGUUCUGUUUGAUCAUACAUGCAUACUAUGUUAAGUUCUUGGAAUGUGCCAUUGUUUUAACAUGCUAUGUGGACAUUAUGAUAAUAGGUGCAUCCAGUGGUAUUGGCACUGAGACUACGCGUGUUCUUGCUUUGCGUGGUGUCCAUGUGAUUAUGGGCGUCAGAAAUAUGACUGCUGGCAAAGAUGUCAAAGAAACAAUACUUAAGGAGAUUCCCUCAGCUAAAGUUGAUGCCAUGGAGUUAGAUCUCAGUUCAAUGGAGUCUGUCAAGAAAUUUGCAUCUGAGUACAAGUCCUCUGGACUUCCAUUGAACAUCUUGAUAAACAAUGCAGGAAUCAUGGCAUGCCCUUUCACUCUCUCCAAAGACAACAUUGAACUACAGUUCGCCACAAAUCACAUAGGCCAUUUUCUCCUGACAAAUCUUUUGUUGGACACUCUGAAGAAAACAUCGCGUGAAGCUAAGAAAGAAGGAAGAAUUGUUAAUGUAUCCUCUGAGGCUCACCGAUUUGCAUAUUCUGAAGGAAUUCGUUUUGACAAAAUCAAUGGCCAAUCAAGUUACAACAGCUGGCGUGCAUAUGGGCAGUCAAAGCUUGCUAACAUUUUGCAUGCAAAUGAACUUACCAAACGUCUCAAGGAAGAUGGGGUGGAUAUUACUGCAAAUUCUAUUCAUCCAGGAUCAAUUACAACCAAUCUUUUCCGUUAUAACAGCACAGUGAACGGUAAUUUCCACAUUGUACUGAUUGUGAAAUCAUGUCCUGUCUACAUGCUGGUCGUAAUCAAGUGCUCUACCAGUUGGCCCUUCUGCAUAUUGAAAUGCGGGCGCAACUGGUCAUGAUCGUUCGGAAAAGGCCUUCUUAAUUUACAGCAGUUAAUUGCUAUUUCAAUUUAUGUCUAUGAAAUUUGUUCCUUUUUUUUAAUAAUGAUAAUGACAGUAGCUUUUUAUGGGUAUAUUUUUGUUUGAUUUAUGCAGGUCUAAUUAAUGUGAUUGGGAGACUUGUGCUUAAAAAUGUCCAGCAGCAACAUCAUGCUAUGUAGCAUUGCACCCACAAGCGAAAGGAAUUAGUGGUAAGUACUUUUCAGACAGUAAUGUCUCCACAACAACCUCACAGGGAACUGACCCUGAUUUGGCUAAGAAACUGUGGGAUUUCAGCAUGAAUUUGAUCAAGUAGAAUUGCCCAAGUGCUACUCGUCAAUGGAGAUGGCAUAUGCAUAUUUACUAUACUAAAUGAAGAGCGUCAACUAUAUGAUUGGCUGUAAUAUAUUUUUAAAGAGAUUCCGAUUCCUAAAUUGCAUAGACAUGAAUUUCUAGCUUACAAAUUAUAAUUUAAUGCCCCUCCUCCAAUAUUUUAC